rnacentral:rRNA from 1 species
AAUAGAUACCCGGGUAGUCCACGCCGUAAACGAUGGAUACUAGCUGUCCGGCGCAAGCUGGGUGGCUAAGCGAAAGUGAUAAGUAUCCCACCUGGGGAGUACGUUCGCAAGAAUGAAACUCAAAGGAAUUGACGGGGGCCCGCACAAGCGGUGGAGCAUGUGGUUUAAUUCGAUGAUACGCGAGGAACCUUACCAGGGCUUAAAUGUAGUGGGACAGGUCCAGAGAUGGGCCCUUCUUCGGACUCAUUACAAGGUGCUGCAUGGUUGUCGUCAGCUCGUGCCGUGAGGUGUCAGGUUAAGUCCUAUAACGAGCGCAACCCCUGUCGUUAGUUGCCAGCGAGUGAAGUCGGGAACUCUAACGAGACUGCCGGUGCAAACCGUGAGGAAGGUGGGGAUGACGUCAAAUCAUCACGGCCCUUACGUCCUGGGCUACACACGUGCUACAAUGGCCGGUACAGAGAGCAGCCACGCCGCAAGGCGGAGCGGAUCUACAAAACCGGUCACAGUUCGGAUCGGGGUCUGCAACUCGA